GAUGAAGAACGUAGCGAAAUGCGAUACUUGGUGUGAAUUGCAGAAUCCCGUGAACCAUCGAGUCUUUGAACGCAAGUUGCGCCCGAAGCCAUUAGGCCGAGGGCACGCCUGCCUGGGCGUCACACGUCGUUGCCCCCCCAUCUACUCCUUCGGGAUUGCGGGGGGCGGAUGAUGGCCUCCCGUGCGCCUCGCCGCGCGGUUGGCAUAAAUGCCAAGUCCUCGGCGACGCACGCCACGACAAUCGGUGGUUGCGAAACCUCGGUUGCCCGUCGUGUGCGGUCGUCGCGCAUCGAGGGCUCGAAAAAAUUGCCGGGUUCCGGCUCGGCUUUCAACGCGACCCCAGGUCAGGCGGGGUUACCCGCUGAAUUUAAGCAUAUCAAUAAGCAGGA
rnacentral:misc_RNA from 1 species